CCCCUCUCAGAGUCGCACCUGGAGAGUUUCCAGUACUCUACCAGUCCCGAUUACAGGAGGGAGAGUCAAGCAGGUGCAUGCUCAUUCCAUUCUUAGUUUGGGCAGUGGCUAGACAGUGGGAGGCAAUCUGCUACAAGU